rnacentral:lncRNA from 1 species
CCUGCCCUCAGACUCAUGUAUUUCCAGUGAUCUAUCUUCUGAAAUGGAUUGGCCUCCAGAGACAACAGAGGGUGUUUCAUAAUGACUCAGGAUAAAAAUCUUGGAAUAUUGAUUCAUUUUUACGAGGAAGACCCCUGAGCUUACAGAAUCCUGAGGAAACAACAGAGGAGCGAUCUUGGUCAAAGUUGAGAUGUUCUUCACUCCCAUCCACGCGCGAAGGUGGCCUGCUUCGCAGUUGGCACCCACAUCCUCACCCCGCACCUCAGCUCUAGUCCAUGCAUGGCAGCCCUUCAUGCACAGCCCACCCUUGCACCCACACAGAUAUCAUUUGGGAGUUAGGACACCUCCUAAACUCUACAUUGUGGUGAGAACUUGGUCUCCACCACCCCAAGGAGCAGUCAGCCUCUGAUCCCUUCUUCUCUAAGGAAAUCUCCUGCCCUCCAACAGGUCGAACCUUAAUUUCCCUGGCCCCUGAAAAAGCAAACAAACAGCCUUUCUUUCUCUGGUUUUCUGUGGCACAUCAUGAAGUACUGGACAAACAGGAGCGCUUCAAACCUCAAGACUACAAAAGCAGCUGUGCACGUUCGUUAGGAAUACGUAACUGAUCUCCCACCUCCCAGGAGGAGCGGCAUGCUUCUUUUAAACAGAGAAGAGAAACAAUACAGUGGACUUUUCAUGUGUCACUAUGCUAAAUGCUUAAUAAAACUCACUUUAUGCAAGGAAACCAACACAAUUGAUUUUUCCAAACUGAGAUGAAAAGCUUUUGAAUGAAUUUCAGUGCCCAUGUCUAAAGCUAAUUUAUACUUCAUCACAUUACCCAUUUCUAUUUCUCGGCUUUUUUCUAUCUUUCCACUGGCUUUUCUCUAACUCCCAAGACAGUUGGAAAUAAAUGAACACAUGCAGAAAGCAGUUGGCAUCAGGAUUUUAAUAAACAAUAGGUUAUUAUAUAUAAUAGUAAUAAAUAUUAUUUAAGCAAUUCAUUUGGUUAGAGAGUGUGAUGCUUAUGGGGCUAAGGUUGUACAUUCAUUCCUUACCUGAACCAAUUAAC